rnacentral:lncRNA from 1 species
GAAAAACUCAUAAAAGCUGAAAGAAAAUUCAUUGAAGAUAGAGUUAAAACAAAUAAUAGAACUGAAAAGGAAAGUCUGUGGUGAUUCAGAUAAAGGAUUUGUUAUUAAUCAAAAGGGAAUUGACCCCUUUUCCUUAGAUGCUCUUUCAAAGAAGGCAUAGUCGCUCUUCACAGAGCUAAAAGGAGGAAUAUGGAGAGGUAUGAGUAGCAGAUUUAUCUGAGUAAUUUGACUUUUACUUAUUUUGCAAAUGAAUUAGGAUUGUUUUUCCUUAUACUUUAUUUUUGGGUUUUCAACUGUACAAUUAAUUGGCAUUAACUAUAUUCGCAUUAUUUUGCACCCGUCAGCACUGUCCAUCUCUAGGAUUUUUUUUAUCAUCACAAACUGAAACUGUAUACCCAUUAAAUAGUUACUCCCCAUUUCUCAUUCCCUUUAUGCCCUUGUAAACAUUAUUUUACUUUUUGUCUCUGAAUUCAGUAUACUUUCUCCCAAAGAGCUCACCACAAUAAAAGUUUUUUUUUUAAUAUUAUUUUAUUAUUUUUUUGAGACAGUCUUGCUCUGUUGUACAGUGGCAUGAUCGUGGUUCAUUGCAACUUCUACUUCCUGGGUUCUUAGGAUUCUCGUGCCUCAGCCUCCCGAGUAGCUAGGAUUACGGGUGUCUGCCACCAUGCCCGUUGAAUUGUUUUGUUUUCGUUUUGCUUUUUUGGUAGAAAUGGGGUUUUGCCAUGUUGGCUAGGCUGGUCUCAAACUCCUGGCCUCAAGUGAUCCACCCACCUCAGCCUCCCAAAGUGUUGGGAUUACAGGCGUGAGCCACCAUGCCUGGCCAAUAAAGAGCUCUUGUCCAUCUUUAGAUUUCAUUUGCUGACUUGGGGAGAGUGGUUUAAAUAGAGGGUUAAAAAGACUGGUUUUCAGCUGGUUGAUGGCAAAUGAAAAGGCUUAGGUUAAAGUACAUUUUAAACUGUAAUUUUGUGUGUAAUUCUGAAAAAUUCCUUCUUAGAAAUUACUGGUCUUCUCUUUGAACUUCACUAGUAACAUUGCUUAUUCAUUUCCCUUAAAAUGC